rnacentral:rRNA from 1 species
CAUAAGCCAGCUUGACUGCGAGCGUGACGGCGCGAGCAGGUGCGAAAGCAGGUCAUAGUGAUCCGGUGGUUCUGAAUGGAAGGGCCAUCGCUCAACGGAUAAAAGGUACUCCGGGGAUAACAGGCUGAUACCGCCCAAGAGUUCAUAUCGACGGCGGUGUUUGGCACCUCGAUGUCGGCUCAUCACAUCCUGGGGCUGAAGUAGGUCCCAAGGGUAUGGCUGUUCGCCAUUUAAAGUGGUACGCGAGCUGGGUUUAGAACGUCGUGAGACAGUUCGGUCCCUAUCUGCCGUGGGCGCUGGAGAACUGAGGGGGGCUGCUCCUAGUACGAGAGGACCGGAGUGGACGCAUCACUGGUGUUCGGGUUGUCAUGCCAAUGGCACUGCCCGGUAGCUAAAUGCGGAAGAGAUAAGUGCUGAAAGCAUCUAAGCACGAAACUUGCCCCGAG